AUGACUGAGAGCUGCAGCUCCAUAACUUUACCCACAGCAACCAUGACUUUGAUCAGCGUCUUCAUCUGCACACUGGCCCUCUGGACUCAAGGAUCCAGAGGUCAGGGGACUGUGACUCAGACUCCUUCAGUGGAAACUGUUGUUCCAGGAAACACAGUCACCAUCAACUGUAGAUUCAGCAUUGCUGUUUGGCAUGACUGUGGGCCAACUGGUGUAUCAUAUGACUGUCUAGCCUGGUACCUUCAGAAACCUGGAGAAGCUCCUAAACUCCUAGUGCGCUAUGCGAGUCACCUGUUCUCAGGAACUCCAGCUCGUUUCAGCGGCAGUGGAUCUAAGACGGACUUCACUCUGACCAUCAGUGGAGUCCAGGCUGAAGAUGCAGGAGAUUACUACUGUCAGAGUACACAUAAGAUCAGUGGUAGCUAUGUGUUCACACAGUGUUAGAGCGCCGUACAAAAACCUCGGUCAGGGAGAGUGCACAGAGAAGCUCUGCUGCAGCUGGGAGCGACUGCAGGUGCUGAGGGGGAAGAAGUGAUACAGCACAAUGACACACAAUGUGGACGAGAGAAAACACACCACACUAACUCACUAAAGCACACACACACACACACACACAUCUGUCAGAGGAGUCCACUUUAUUCAUCUGUCAGUACAGUCAACACACACACACA